UAUUGUUCUGCAAGUAGGAAACAAAAAUAUUAUUAGCCUCCUUUUUGUAUCCCCCUCUCCCUCUUUUUUUUAUUCUUUUACAUUAUUUCAGUUUGAUUUUUAAAAUCUUUUUUACCUAAUAUUUUUCCAAUAUUUUCAAUCCGAUGAUGUCGCAUGAGAGGAACCCUAAGAAGCUUCAAUCUUUUCCACUGCAUCAGGAUUGCGGUCGUCGGUUGCUUUUUCUUAUUUGGCGACCUUUCCUCGUUCUUCGAUGGGAUUUUGAUGUUAGGGUUUCGUGAAAGAUGCGUCCUUUUUGUUGUUUUUCGAUGUUGUCCUCCUCCUUUUCCCUCCCGAUCCUUCGACCUUUGAUCCUUUCCGUUGAAUGCUAUUGAUAGGCUCGGCGAGGUGAAGGUGAUGUGGUCGAAUGCUUGACUGAAAUCGGUGGAAAAAUUUUGAUCUUUUUGCCGAUUUCACCGGCGUGUCUCUGUGGUUCGUCCGUUUGAAUGGACGACGACGGGGAUGGGGGGUUGGAUAUUCGGAACUGGGGCUACUAUGAACAGACCUGGAAGGGGAACCUCGGCCUGCAUCUCAUGUCCUCGGUGGUGGAGCGCGACACCAAGCCGCUGUUGUCGAAUGGGGGAUUCUUGCAUCGGCAAUGCGGUGUAUCUGAGCCAUUGGUGGCGAUGGACGUCAUGAGAGAUGGCUGGAUCCACCAAUCCAGCGACGACCACGACAAGAUCCUUCAUAUGCUGCCGGUGAAUCACCACCACCAUCACAACGACAGCUAUUACGGUGCCCUACAUGAUCCUCUGACCCCCGAGACUCUCCAAAUGUUGCAGCUCCCCGAGCCUCCCAAGGAUGACAAUUUCCCGGUAACAGAUAUACCUGUUGGUGAAAAUGAGACUCCUUUAAAGAAGCGCUCGAAGGGCCGGCCCCAGAAAUUCCCGAAGCCAAAGAAGUCGAAAAAAGUUGCAGCAUCGACUAAUGAUACUACUAAUGGUUCUGUUUCACUUGGAAAAUCUUGUAGGAAGAGCGCUGAGAUGGUCAUUAACGGUAUCAGCUUAAAUACCUCAGGGAUCCCAACACCAGUUUGCUCUUGCACUGGAAAGCCACAGCCAUGCUACCGGUGGGGUGCUGGAGGCUGGCAAUCGGUGUGUUGCACAACUAGCAUUUCGAUGUAUCCCCUCCCUAUGAGCACCAAAAGGCGAGGUGCACGAAUUGCAGGCCGGAAGAUGAGUCAGGGGGCAUUUAAGAAAGUUCUGGAGAAGCUUACAGAAGAAGGCCAUAGCCUUUGUAAUCCGAUUGACUUGAGGUCUUUCUGGGCUAAGCAUGGCACUAACAAGUUUGUGACAAUCAGGUAAAACGUGCAAUGUUGGCUGUCAUAAAUUAGGCUUCACCUCUGCAUCUGGCUUUGCCUAUCCACGAUGUACAAAUCUGUAUCCUUAUGUGGAGGUGCUUUGAAUCGGAGCCUGAAAACUGGUUCGAAUUGGAACAUGAUUGGCAAGUGGGACAUUCGAGAAAGGACCGUGCAAAUAUACAGAACCCUUGCCAGUUUUGUAGGUCAUCUUUUGGGCUUUGCAUGUUCUUUCGCUUGUUAAGCUGAGGAGGAUAUACUCUAAGAAUAACUUUGGAGCUCAGUUUCAUGUCUUAUUUUAUCAUUCUCUAUGACCAAACAGUUGGAUGGGUAUGAUUCUUUUGCUGGAAUUGAACAAUCAGCCAGUUAUCAGGAUCUUUGAAAUACAGGUUGAUCCGUAUUCAAUUAGACUACAGGCAUUACAGUUGAUAAAGCUUGUGAUUUGGAAUUAUGUUUGAUUCCAAUUGCUUCUGUGGUUUUGGGGUUUCAACUUCUGUCACGAAGUCUUAUUUUUGACAGGUGAAACUUAUAUAUAGCAUUGAUGGUCUUUCGAAAGUUAACAAAGGAGAACUGCGUGUCAACAAACUAUCAUAAAUAAUUGUGAAAUUUGAAUUAUGCUUCCAUUCCUUCGUCAGUCUUUGUUUCUUGAAUUUUUUAGAAUGAAUUUCCCAUUUUUCUUUCAAUUAAUAGUCAAGGCAGAACUCUUUUAUCUAUUAUAUCCCAUGUGAUAUGUAUUUAUCUACCUAUGUUCAAUUUCGUGUCUGAGAACUUGACUUUUUAACUAAUUCUGCAAGAAGUUAUUCUUAAUGAACUGAAGUACUCAUUCCAAUUGGUAAUCUUAAGCCCUUUCUUUAAGAAAUAACUACAUCUGUAAAUAUAUGUAUAUAUAUGUUGCCAAGUUGUUAGGAUAAUAUUAACAUAGCAGUCUCCUUUUGGUUUAUUGAAGGAGAUCAUAUAGGAGGCUUACAAUGUACAUUAUUUUGAUAUCAUGGUAAAGUUCUAAUUUUCUUUUUAAUUUUUUUCUUUUCAUCGGAUGGUUAUUUGAAUUGGUUUUUUUUUUUUACUUUAGAUCAUCUGAAAUGUUUAAAGGUAAAGCUAUGUCGAUCUUACCCCAACUCUCGCAUUGGUGAGAGCCCUUCUUUUAUCCUAUGAAAUGGUAUGUUUGCUUCCCUUUUAUAUUAAAUUAUAUCAAACAUCAUCUAGUGUCUUCAUAUCAUGUAAUAGCCUUGAGAAUGGGCUGUGCGUCCUUCAACUUAGGUUUCUCAGAUGAAGUAAUACAGAAAUAGUGCCAAGGCAAUAUGAUGCUAUGAAUUAGUCCAUGAAAUUUUCUUGGUAUUCUGUUAUUAGGAGGCACAAGUAUAUAUCACAUUUAGGUAUUAAUUUAUAUAUGACAUGACCACUGAUGCUAUAGUUGCUAUCACUCAAAGAUGUGUCUUGCAAAAUUUACAGGAGCAUUUGACAGAUCAUUUUGGUUGGUCUCUGUUAUUAUUAUUGUGUCUAACAAUUCAUUGUGGCUUGACAUUAUGAGAAUUCCCCUAUAGAAUUUGACAUGCAUAUUUAGAGUAACUUGGUUGAACAUGAGGCUCAGUGAAUCUUUUGUAGCUUUCUUUGCACUAUUGAAAGCUAUCUCAUCAAUAUCAAGUUGAGCUCAUUCAUGUAAAGCUUAGCAUAAUGGGGGAUUGUUUUUCUGUGUUUCUAAGCUGUCAUGUUAUGAAGAUGAAACAAAAACUUGUUUGCAUCAAACUUUCUAGUCUCAUGUAGGAUACUCUCAGUUCAAUAUAUGUAAUUGGUAGAUCUUUUGAAGGGUUAUUGUGAAAAUUAGAGCACUUAAACUUCCACAAAUAUCUUUUAUAUGGUUUCUGGAGGAUACUGUUGAGUUUCUUGAUUGCAUUGCUUCCUGUUCAUUGUACAAACUUAUGCAAGAAGUUGACCUUUUUUUGUUAAUUAUUCCUUAUUUCCAACUAGCUGUGAGGUCUGAACCUUUCAUCACUUUCAAAAUUUUGUGUGCAUCUGACAGUAGGAUCUUGUUACACGGUGAGUUGCCUGUAAUUAUGGAUGUAGUCUAGAAACCCCUUCCAUCAUGUCCUGAAAAUUUUUCCUCUGAAUGUAUGUGGAAGGUUGGGGUUGCUCACUUACCGAUUUGUGUAAUAUUUUGCUCUUUUUACACUUGAAAAAGGUAUUUUGUUAUGCCACAAGUUACAGGUAAUUAAUUUAAUAGUCUUGGAGGCCGAUCUAUCAUGUCCCAGAAGUUUUGCUAUUGUCAUCAAAACAACAGAGACACUUCUCCAGAAUUUUUUUUUCUUGGUGCUGCAGAGCUUUCAACCCCAGUGACAUCUUCAGCCUUCUGUUCAUGUUUUCAGAUAAGGUGCAAUGACUUUCCCUGGCCAACAUCUUUCACGUCCAAAGGAUGAAUGAUGAUUGCCUGUGUCAUAUCUGUCUUGGCAAAACCAGGAUUUAUGUUUCAUAUGAAGACUACUUCUGCUAUUCUUUUUCAAGCAAAAGUGUUCUGCGGCGCGCUGCUGCCAUACCAAUGGGCAGAACAAAUGGCAUGUGGAGUAUAAUAAUCACAGGGGCACACAGUGGAAGGAAUGAUAAAGAGCUCCCUCCUUUGCUUGAUGGCGGGGUAGGCGCAUGUGGAAGGGCCAUGAUUCAGCUCCCUCCUUAGCUUCCCCCUUUACGUUCUCACAAAGCUGCAUGUCCAUCCUUACUUCUUGGGAUCCUACAAAGCUAACAACCUCCAGAUUUGCUUUACUCUUCUCCUGCAACUUCUCAAGCAGAGCAUUCAGAUGCAAAGUGCAGCCCAUGAAUUUAAAUGUAGUACAAAGAAAGCAGCCACAUGCAGUGCCAACAAAUUUAUGAGGAUGAGCCAAGUUUAAGUCGAGGCACAGCUUCACUAUAAGAGUGAUAGUAAGCUCUUCUUUUCAGCACGAGAGUGUUCUAACAACUUUUGAGUACCAAGUUUUUUGGUGCCCAGAUGUCACUUCAAGCAUGUCUUUUGAAUAGAGAAUUGUUUUGUUGUUCUACUCUGAAGGAAUUGUAUGUUGUAGACUGGUCUCCAGAGUAAUAUCAAUUGUCAAGAUCAGGAGAAGUGAUUUUUAUUGACUAUUUUCAAAAGUUGUAUUUGCAAGUUAAUCUAUCCGAAAAGAUAUUUUUCUUUCAGAA